rnacentral:lncRNA from 1 species
CUUGAGUCUAACAGCCGAGGCUUGAAUCACCCAGGAUCUCACAUCUAAGACCUGUCAGUUCAAUGAUCACUGUUUUCAACACAGAAAUGAAUGGCUGCUAUGCUGCUAAGCACUGGAGAAGUAAGGAUAGCCUAUGAAAUGUGCUUGCUUCUCUUCUUCCCCCUCCCCUCUCCUCUCUCCCUUUAUACCCCAAAGGCUGAGGAAGGCAACCGCUGCUUUGAUUAUAUGUCAGCUCUUGCACAUACUAUAGCAAGGAUCAACCAUCUUUCCAAAGUAUGUAAAAAUUCUCACUCAGUCCUAUUGGUGCAUCUAUUAAGAGAGAAAUGCCGUUCACUAGAUGCAGAGAGGGUAUAUAAAUUCUUUGAAUUUAUAAAGAAAAAAUUUUAAUGUUAAAAUUUAGUCAAAGGAUCUAGUAAGAAAAAAUUAAUUGUUUAAUCACCCACACCAGUGCCUAAAAAAUCCUCACACUACAAACACCCACUGCUAAUUUUUUUUUUGCUAAGAAGAAUAAUGCACAAUAUUUUCCAAUUAAAGAAAAAAAAGUGAAUCAUUCCUCUUAUAACAUAAUCUGAACAUGUAAAGUACUUUAAAGCCUGAAUUAUCCAAAUAAGGAUUUUAAAUGCAUACAUUGCCUAAUAAAAUAACUUAGCCAAGAAUGUUUUUAUACACACACAUAUCACAAUUAUUGGUCAAUACUACUGAAAUAGUCAAACAAAAACAAAUCAACAAAUGAAAUAAUUUGUAAAAACAAAUGACCUUUCUCCAAAAGAUCUACACCAAGUCAUGGUCAUUUGUUUUUACCUUACACCAUAGUCAUGUUCCUCCCUCUCUCUAGUUUCCCUGUAGGGACCUCAGAAGGAAAUCAAAGGGUCACUAACAGCUAUCUUCAGCAACUUUUCUGCACAGCUUUUCUCCUGCAAAGAUGAGUCAGGAUGAAAUCUGGAAGAGCAGUUACCAGGCAGGAAGUCCAUGCUUAAUCCAAUACCAUUGCACACAUGCAAAAGGUGCUAGGGUCUUAUGAAAGGGAUAAAUAAAUUUCUCCUUUUCAAGUAGUCAGUGUCAGGUUAGAAUUUUUAUCAGGGAUAAGAACAGUCCUAAGUACAUUAUCUGUUUUAUAACUUGAAUAUUAUUCAAUGUGGCUAAAUAAAAAUAUAUAAACAAUAUAGUAAUUUUAUUUUCUUGUAUGGUAGAUUAAAUAAAAUCUGAUCUGAAAGAUCCUUUAAAGAAAAAUUGCUAUAACUUAGUACUUAGUGGCAAACAAAUAAAAUCACCAAACAUAAUAUAAUUGAAUUUUAGGGUUCUUUUUUUAGCUUUUUUGUCACAUUCAGGAUCAUGGUGGUUCUGUAAUCAAUGCAAAUUUCUCUUAAGGAAUAAUGCCAAAUGAAUCAUCUAUGUGAGAACCUCAAAGAGUAAAUGGUACUCCUUGGUCGAUACAAUUAAGUACAAGAGGUGGUCUAUGAUUUACCAAUAUAUUCAGAGCUCUGCAGUUUUAUGAAAAUUCUUCAAAGCUUCUUCAUACCCAAUGAUAGAUUAUAAUCUCAAAGUGACAAGAAUCCCCACCCUAACAAUCCCUGCCAGAAAGUCAAUUCCCUGAAGAUAUUCAGGUAAAUAAAAAAAAAAAAAAAAUCCCAGUUAAAAUCCUUUAGUUGAUACCUUUAUGCCAAGCUGGGCACAACGGCAUGUGCCUCAAGUCCCAGCUAAUCUGGAGGCUGAGAAAGGUGUAUGGAGAGUUCAAGGCCAACCUGGACAACAAAACCAGACCCUAUCUCAAAAAAAAAAAAAAAAAGAAAAAGAAAAAAGAAAAGAAAGAAAGAAAGAAUGAUAAAACUUUAACUGCAUUGUGUUAGAAAUUAUGUAAAAUUUAAAAUUAUAUAGUUCUAGUUCUACACCUAGAAAAAUCUUUAGAAAUAAAACCAUCUUGUGUCACAUUUUAGGAAACUAAAUCCCAGAAAUGUUUGAUGAUUUGCCCAAGACACCUGUCUAGCUUAUUUAAACUCCUGAAUUAUGAAAGGACAGAUGAGUGACAAGAGCAGUUCUUUUAAAGAAUCAAAUAUAUUCAUCUUCAUGUACAUUUGAAUACAUCAAUUCUAAAUCAAAACACACUAUGGAAGAGACAUUAUUUAGGAUAAAGUUGAAUAUCAGUAACCACUUGAAACUGUACAAAAGAGGGGCAGACUUAUUGGGGAAUUUUCUGGGGAGUUUUUUCUAGCUCAGUCUUUCAUUAUAUAUACAAAGUUUCUCUGGUAAUCUGAACCAAUAGAAAAAUUGACAAGACAGAGAGCUAAGUUUCAAGAAACAAACAGUACAGGGAGAAAAUAAGAAUGCCACCUCUAGUUUAUCAAUGGCACUAAUAAUGAAGAUGUGAAUGUCACCAGGAAAGUCCACCACAUUCUGUGCUUUGAUGUGAACAGUUUUUAAGUCAUGAAAGAAAAAGCACACAGGGCAUAAACUUUCAAAUUAUGCCAAAGACUAAUUAAAACAGAUACACGUAGAUAUCAUUGGAUUCAACCAUAGUGCCCAUUUGAGAGGGCUGGCUGUAAGCAUUAGUCUUGCCCUUUAAUACAUUUCUACAGCUGUUAAACAUAAGUGGAUGUCUCCCAUAUGCAAUUCAGAGAGGCCCUGAAACUGAAGCCAAAAGAUGCACUGAGAGGCCAUCAUGCCAUAUGACACAUCUUUAAAAGCUCUGGCUGUUUGACAUCUGACGAAAUGCCAAAUCCCUAGUGCACAAGUCUACUGUGACACAUUCUGCUUACUAUAUAGCAGAUUGGAGUUGGACACUCAAUAUGUAUCUAACUCCACAAAGUUAUAGACUGUCUAAUGGGUGCUUUCUGAUAAAUCACAGGUAAAAGACAUCAGUUUCAUAUCCAAAGCAAAUGACUUGAUGGUUAACAUCUUAUCCUUAGCCUGACCUUGACAAAUCAGGUAAGAUAUGAUUACUGCACUUGAAGUAUAAAGACUAUGACUAUGAUAUCAUUCUCUUAACUGUUUUAAAGACAUUUCUUGGAUACCGCCAUAAUAUUUUUCCUUGUAGGUAUCUGUUGUAAACUUAGAGUUUUUCUGUUGUUUUUUUAUAAUCCUUUUCAAACUAUCUGCAGGUAUCUAAGGGAUUUUGUUUGAAUCUACUUGUACAAACAUAUGUCAUUUUACAAAUCUGAGGCAUGAAUUUGACUUAGUAUAUAUUGAUUGCAAGAAAUUUGUACAAUGAAUGCCAAUAUAAUUAAAAGUACUUAAGCUUCUUUUUUUUCAAUUUCUGAAUUUUCAAAAUUACUCAUGCAAGCUGACAGUAUUUUUUGAUAUGAUACAAAUCUUAAAUUCUAGAAUACAUUAGGAAAACUAAAUUUAGAAAAAUAGACUCACUACAUUAGAACAGAUCAUUCACAUACACGCUUUAUGAGAGAAGUAUCUUUAAAACUCAUAUUACAAAAUCAUAGCCAUAUUUUUUAAGAAAAUAUCAAAUAAUGACAAUUUUGCAUUGUUAUUGCCAACAUGUGAGUUUUCAACCCUCGGUCUUUAUCAAUCCCAGCAGAAUUUCUGACAUAUAGAAUUAAUUCACAUGGCUUUCAAUGCCAUAGAAAUUAGGAUCUAAAUUAUUUAUUAGUCAAUGCUCAGGGGUUGUGAAUGGGAUACAUUCAUGUUAGAGAUCAAAAGGCCAGAAAAAAAGUAGGACUGGAAUGCAAAUUUUACAAAGAUUCCUAUUCAACAAGGUCAGAAAUAAUUUCUAAUUUUUAAAAUGUAGAUUAUAUAUAGCUGCCAUCUACCUCUUUCUCAUUUGGGCACAUAAACUCAGUGAUCUCUGCUUUUUCUUUGCACCCUGAGGCAUUCCUGGGCAUUUUAAAUCUAUCGGGACCCAUCCACAGCUCACCAGGAACUUAGAGCACUGACAGGUACAAGAAAAAUCCUAGUUCUCUGCUAUUUAUUAGCUAAUUUACAAAUGUCUCAACAUGAAUAUGUUAUUUUAUGGUUAUUGCUGCUUAUAGCUGACAGCACAUAAGAAUUCCCUUAAUUUAACAAAAUUAUGAACAAACAUCACAGAAAAGCAUUUGAACUCCCUUGUACAAACAGCAUUUCAAAUUACAGAAAACUGUCUAGAAGUCUUAAUUGGAAGUGUUCAUCAUCAGCACCAACUUGAACAUGAACAAUUCAUUCUCCCAUGAGAAGCCUUCUCAAUUUUAAAAGGUAAAAAACAACAACAACAACAAACAUACAGCAUUAUUGAAAAACAAGUACAGCAGAACAUAUUUUGACCAAUUACUACAUUAGCUUGCAAGAUACUUUUUUGAAUGGCUUAUUAAAAUAACAAUCAAUUAAUUACAUCUAAAAUAUUAGCCAUGUGUCUAGACCUAUGGCUGGUUAUACUGUCUAGAUCCUAUCUGAUAACUAUUCUUGCAACAAAUCAAGUAAAAUGUAGCACUUCAGUACUUACAGACUGCUCCCAGAGAACACCAUCUGGGGAACCUUUUUCAUUUGAGAUUAAAGCUGCACACAAGGUUUAUUGUUAGUCCCAGCAAGCAAGAAGGAACAGAGGAACAGGAGAGGAGGGUGGAGGGAAGUGCUUACUUCGAAAAUGCUCCGAAGCAUAAUAAUAGACAUCCUCAUAGCCCUCGUGGUAAUCCUCUUCUGGUCGGUACUUUUUGCCCUUUCUUCUCCUAGAUCUUCGGAUCUGCUUGACAAAACCCAGAAAGCGGUCCAUCUCUUGCUCACCGUGCAGCCCUGCUCAGCCAGCACCAGAGUGCAGAGACAACCCAGCUGCUUGGGAAGCCAGUGGAGCAUGAAUGACCAACACACCAAGCCUGGGGACUGGAUGCACUGCCUUGUAUCUGCCUCUAUGCUAUCAUCACAGCAGAGAUUUUAGCCAUGGAAGAGAUUAAAAAUAAGAGUGCUAUGGAGUUUACCUUGACAAGAUUUCUCAUUUAGUUCAAUAAACUGUCAGAUCUGCAAUUUGAAAAAGAGGAGAGGGAGAGAAAGUGAAAUGACAAUGAAAGACUAGGAGGGAAAAAAACAAAACAGCAAAGCUUUAGACUUCAAAUAGUUUCAAAACAAAAGUUCAGGAGAUUUGGCUGAGGCAAGAGGAGUCCCAGCACUAGAAUGUCACUAUCCAACCUCUCCACCACCAGGGGCAGGGGUGUGUAGGAGAAGAGGGGCGGGGAAACAUAGUCAAUGGACUGAACCAAAGGGAGAGAGAAACUGACUUUUUCCUACCUGCUAAUCCCACCACCUGAUUUUAGCUCCCCUUCUCUCAAAGCACGGCACAUGCUUGGGAAACUUCUUGGAAAGCUAUUGUUUUGCAAUAGGCAGACUGAAUAACUUUGGGCUCUCUCACAUAUCACAUUAAUGAGCAGCAAAGUGGUUUCAUCCAUAUGCACAGCCCUCUUGCUGACAAGAGUAUGCUGUAUGUGUUAAUUGGAGCAGCAGGGAGAAGGCUCAGCAGCUGCUUUCAAAUGACACGUUUACCCACUGGGCAUUAAUGUAUUCCAAUCGCUGUUUGAUCUAAAUAUUAAAAUGCACUUCACAGAGAAGCUUCUCAUAGGCUUAGUAACAGAAUACCAUAAUCAGCAAAUAAAGGAAACUGCAUGGUUUCAGGGAAAGGAAAUACAAAUAAUCCAACUCUGCUAGCACGGAACUCAAAUGUAAAUCUAGCUGAGUUAUUACACUUUUAAAAAAUGUGAAAACAAAUGGGUUAAAGAGCCUAUAAAACAUAAUUCUUCCUGGUGAAGAUGGCAAAGGGAGAAAAGUUGCAAAAUAUGCUCACACCCUAUUCAUCCUUUUAUCUUUGAAAGUCACAUUUUUCCCCCCUAAAUUAAGUAGGACCAUCAGAAACACUUCAGACUAGAUGAGGGAAGUACUCUAAAGUCUAGACAGGUCAGUGUUAAUCAUGGAUAAUCUUUUUUCUCUGUAGCUUCUUUCUUCUUCAGGUUUUUUUUCAGCAGAAUUUUUUCACACCAGGAAAAAAUUGAUUUGUUUACAAUAUAAUUAAUCAAACAUGACAGCAUAUUACCAAGUAAACUAAUGAUAUUCUGCAGGACCAUGUUCCCCAAAAUGUAAUUUUAAAAAAUGCUUCUUAUUGUAUACAAGUCAUUCAAUAUCCAUGUAAUAUCAAGAUUGUAGGACCAUCCCAAAGGUAACUGAUUACAUGUGGCAACCUGUUGUUACAUUAACAAGCAAUUUGUCUCUCUUCUAGAUUUAGACUCUUCUCUCUGUUUUUGGAUAUAAACUGCUAAUGACAAAGCAGGGAGACAUUAUUUAGAGAAGCAAACAUUCAUUAGCCAAGAACAUUUCAGCUUUGGAAUGUGUAAACUUAUUUUCAAUAGUUCCAUGAUUUUCUGCUAUCCCUAGAGAUUUCUGAUUUUUUUUUAUGCCUUAGAAGGAAAUUUGUGAAGAGAAACACAAACUUAAUGAUACUGACAAAAAGAUGCUAUAAAAUGUUUUAUGGACAAAAAAAAUCACUUGUCCUUAGAUUCCAAAUCCUUCCUUUAUUAUUCUGACUCUCUCAAACAAAAUAAACUAGGACAAUUAAAAACUAAUGAAAGAAAAAUGUGAAGAUCUGGAGUCUGGAUCUUGAAUAAAUUACUAAAUAAAUGAUGAUAAUAAUAACAUAAAAUCUUUUAACUUAAUCCAUCAGCAUGUACGAUGAGAUAAGCAUCAUUAUAUCUCUAUGGAUGAGGAAAAAACAACAUAUAAUGCACUACUCUUCAACAGAGAAAAGAUAAGUUUUACAUAGAAGAACUUAAAACUUUCCACAAGAGUUUACAGAUUUCUUAAAUAAUGGUAAGCAACCAUUUUUGCACAAGAACCAAUGCAGAUAGUCAAAUUAUAUAUAUGCCUAUGGGUUUAUUUUCAGAAAUAAACAAAUUGUGCUUCUGAGCCUAUUA